ACUCUAUGUCCUCCUAGGUCCUGUUGAAGAUCUGCAGGAGUCUGCACAUGGCGGCGUGGAGGAUAUGAAAUCAGAAUGUAGCAAUUCGAAAGCCCAGUCUCAACUCUGUCCUGUUGAAGAUCUGCAGGAGUCUGCACAUGGCGGCGUGGAGGAUAUGAAAUCAGAAUGU